AUGAAUUGCAUUAGGAGUUGAUGCUGGUGGCUGAUCCCUUUGGCCGCAUGUGCUCGCUUCUAACAAUCUUUGACCCAAACACCAGUGCACCUUAUGAGGGGGUCUCCAUUUUUCGUGGAUUCCCUUCUCUAAUAUACGCUGUCUAUGAUGUUGAAUGUGAUUGUGCCACAUUGGCCUUAAUAUGUAAUAUA
rnacentral:misc_RNA from 1 species